GAUGAACGCUGGCGGCGUGCCUAAUACAUGCAAGUCGAGCGAACAGAUGAGGAGCUUGCUCCUCUGACGUUAGCGGCGGACGGGUGAGUAACACGUGGAUAACCUACCUAUAAGACUGGGAUAACUUCGGGAAACCGGAGCUAAUACCGGAUAAUAUAUUGAACCGCAUGGUUCAAUAGUGAAAGACGGUUUUGCUGUCACUUAUAGAUGGAUCCGCGCCGCAUUAGCUAGUUGGUAAGGUAACGGCUUACCAAGGCAACGAUGCGUAGCCGACCUGAGAGGGUGAUCGGCCACACUGGAACGGAGACACGGUCCAGACUCCUACGGGAGGAAGCAGUAGGGAAUCUUCCGCAAUGGGCGAAAGCCUGACGGAGCAACGCCGCGUGAGUGAUGAAGGUCUUCGGAUCGUAAAACUCUGUUAUUAGGGAAGAACAAAUGUGUAAGUAACUAUGCACGUCUUGACGGUACCUAAUCAGAAAGCCACGGCUAACUACGUG
rnacentral:rRNA from 1 species